rnacentral:ncRNA from 1 species
AAUUUGCAUUUUUAAAAUAUAAUGAUACGGUAUACGCUAAACUGGUGCAAACUGGCGUAUUAAAACUCUCUUAACUGCUGGAAACUCCUAAAGUCUUUAGUACCAAAGUGUAAUAAUCUAAAGGAUAUAUGGACAAUCAGCAUCCAAGCAUUGUUAUAAAUAACAAUGAAGGUUCAACGACUAUCGAAAAAUAUAAUUUGUAUUAUGUUGAGUAGAGUACUUUCAAGCGAAAGGAAAAGGAGAGCAUGAUGAAGGUAUUAAAUACUGGAGUGAAGAUAUAGUCUCAUCUCUAUGGAAACAUAGAG